rnacentral:rRNA from 1 species
AUACGAACGGCCCGAGCGUUAAGCGGAAUCACUGGGCUUAAAGGGUGCGUAGGCGGAAUGGUAAGUGUCUUGUGAAAUCCCACGGCUCAACCGUGGAACUGCAGGGCAUACUGUCAUUCUUGAGACUGGUAGAGGUUGUCGGAACCAUAGGUGUAGCGGUGAAAUGCGUAGAUAUCUAUGGGAACACCAAAGGUGAAGACAGGCAACUGGGCCAGUUCUGACGCUGAGGCACGAAAGCGUGGGGAGCAAACAGGAUUAGAAACCCCGGUAGUCC